GGCGUGCUUACACAUGCAAGUCGAACGAUGAAAGCGGGAGCUUGCUCCUGCUGGAUUAGUGGCGAACGGGUGAGUAACACGUGAGCAAUCUGCCCCUGACUCUGGGAUAAGCGUUGGAAACGACGUCUAAUACCGGAUACGAGAUGAGACCGCAUGGUCAUCAUCUGGAAAGAACUUCGGUCAGGGAUGAGCUCGCGGCCUAUCAGCUUGUUGGUGAGGUAAUGGCUCACCAAGGCGACGACGGGUAGCCGGCCUGAGAGGGUGACCGGCCACACUGGGACUGAGACACGGCCCAGACUCCUACGGGAGGCAGCAGUGGGGAAUAUUGCACAAUGGGCGCAAGCCUGAUGCAGCAACGCCGCGUGAGGGAUGAAGGCCUUCGGGUUGUAAACCUCUUUUAGCAGGGAAGAAGCGAAAGU
rnacentral:rRNA from 1 species